GCUACGGGAGGCAGCAGUGAGGAAUAUUGGUCAAUGGACGAGAGUCUGAACCAGCCAAGUAGCGUGAAGGAUGACUGCCCUAUGGGUUGUAAACUUCUUUUAUAAAGGAAUAAAACGAGGCACGUGUGCCUUUUUGCAUGUACUUUAUGAAUAAGGAUCGGCUAACUCCGUGCCAGCAGCCGCGGUAAUACGGAGGAUCCGAGCGUUAUCCGGAUUUAUUGGGUUUAAAGGGAGCGUAGAUGGGUUGUUUAGGCAGUUGUGAAAGUUUGCGGCUCAAACGUAAAAUUGAAAUUGAUACUGGCAGUCUUGAGUACAGUUGAGGUAGGCGGAAUUCGUGGUGUAGCGGUGAAAUGCUUAGAUAUCACGAAGAACCCCGAGUGCGAAGGCAGCUUACUAAACUGUGACUGACAUUGAUGCUCGAAAGUGUGGGUAUCAAACAGGAUUAGAUACCCUUGUAGUC
rnacentral:rRNA from 1 species